UAUUUUUCACAAUAACAGAGAUUAUUCCUGAGGCAUUUUAUUUAUUUCCAGCCGUUUUUAGUCCAAAAUGACCUUUUUUCAAAGUCAGUCUUUAUUUCAAAAUCCCGUUUUUCCCGAUGGUCUAUUUAUUUCAUAAUGCGACUUUUCAGCAGAAUGACUUUGUCUGUCAAUCAAGAAAGACAGGGCGGAGCCAGUUGUGUGAUUGGUUGCUCCUUUACUCAGACAUAUGGUGCAAUGCAUCUCCUAUGCAGCUGGCGGCAGUAUGCAGCUCAAAAUAAACUUAAGGCACCGACAAAUGCAAAACACUGGGCGCGAAUAACGUUACAGGUGUAUCAAUUCUUGUGAAGGGCAUGGCUGCAGGAAACAAGUCCGUUUCUGAGUUACUCAGAGAACUUGCUAACCGCUUAGAUUGAACGUCUUCACCUCAGUCUGCGUAUUGCAGCAGUGUACUGGAGAUGAAGUGGUCCCUGGUCCAAGUUCUCAUCACAACCGCACAGUGUUAACGUUAGCAAAUGCUAACGCUAUCACAGCUAGCUCCACGAAACGCUGUUCAGGGUAAGUAACGAUAUGUUAUUAUUGCUUGGUUAGUCUGUCUGUCUGGCAAAAAUGAGCUUUUUAAUCAGUUUAGUCACAGAUUUUUUUUAAUACUGUUUUUUAUCAUAGCAAAGAAUUCUAUAAAUUAGGUAAGAGAAAAUAAUUGUCUUCUGGGUUAAUGUCUGUAUUACUAUUUACAUUGUUGUAGGUAAUAGUUAUUCAUGACUGUUUUAAAGUGGCUUAUCUUCUGUGCUAAUAUGGAAGACAAGUAAUCUAUGUGAAAGAAAAGAAAGCAAUUUUAGUUCAACGUAGUGAUUUUGUAAGUGGGUAUAAUUUGAAAAUGCUUUUACUAGUACAGUGGAUGUUCUUUAAAUAUUUAACAUUUAAAGUGUGUGUCACUUUACAGACUCCAACUUCAGUUUUGGUUUGGUCUCACCGUUGUAGGUCAUAACACAAACAAGUCGUCAAGUCAAGCAGCUGAGGAAAGGGCUUAAGGAAACCAUGGUAUGGCCGCUUCUGACAGAAAGAUCAGACAUCAUUCCUCCUUUCUUACCAAGGGAAUCAGAGACUGCUCCCUGUUGUGAGACUACAAGAUAAGUAAAGCUAUAAAAUGACUGUGGCCUGCCACAGAAGAUGAAGAUGAGGAAGAAGAGGAAUGCUCUCGAGGAUAAAUGCAGAGUGGCAGGUUACCUUCGGUCCUUCAUUGAAAAUGCAUCUUGUGCACAACAAAAAGCCCUCAUCAAGUUUUGGACAGGAUGGGAAGUCUUGCCGAGAAAUGACUGUGGAAGUGGUCAACAGCAAUCUUCCAAAGUCUUCCACCGGUUUUGAAGUACUACGUCUUCCUGCACACUACUGUACCUAUGAGUCAUUUCUAAUGGACAUUCAGGUGUGUCUCAACUCUACUGACUCAGGUUUUGGUCUGGUUUACGAUUGAUUCCAUAACCACAUGGUAAAAUUAGACCAUUUCUUCUUUCUUGCAUCACAUUACUGUACUCGGUGUUCAAAGAAACGGACAAUCUAGUGAGUUCUAGUUCUUUUUAAUACACUUGACAGUGAAAAAUACAGAGUACAGGUGUGCAUUUAUGGCUUUAAUAUAAACUGAUGAAGAGUUCAGAUAUCAAAAUCAGUUGUUCACUGUACAUUAUAAAUUACACAAUAUGUUUUGUUUAUACUCGCUACUGAUACAAAAAAUUUCUAGAAAAAAUUAUUUGAAUUAAGAUGUUACACUACUGUACUGUGUUCAUUGUAUUAAAUCUGCUCAGAGUUGACAUGUACUGUAUAUCCAACCAAGAAAUGAAUAUCAUUAAAGUGACAGCUGUAUAAAACAAA